rnacentral:rRNA from 1 species
CCCUUAGAUGUUCUGGGCUGCACACGUGCUACACUGGCAGGUUCAGCGAGCUUCAUGCCCUGAUCUGAAAGGAAUGGGAAAUCUUUUCAAAACCUGCCGUGCUUGGGAUAGAUGUUUGCAAUUAUUCAUCUUCAACGAGGAUUGCCUUGUAAGCGCACGUCAUCAGCGUGCAUUGAAUACGACCCUGUAUUCUGUACACACCGCCCGUCGCUCCUACCGAUUGAAGUUUUCGGUGAGUUGACAGGAGGAUUUUUUUGAAACUGGUUCGCCAGUGGAUUUUAGAUCCAAAUGCCAACGAAUCGAUGGUUUUAGAGGAAGGAGAAGUCGUAACA